UCAUUUCAAAUUUGCUAGAUUAUCUACAUGUGUAAAAGUAAAUAAAGUUUUCAGAAACACAUGCUAUUCUUGAUAACAAACGACCGCUUGUUCCCUUUUGACGAACGUUUUCUAAAUUCUAACCAUGGUUAGCUGCAGUCCUCGUUCUUUUUUCCCCAAAAUUCAGAGAUUGAACUGUAGAAGCAAGGGAAGUCGAAACCCUAAAUUUUUUUCCCCCAAAUUUGUGCUAUCUUCAUACUAAAUUGGAGCUGCUCGAUAGUCGAUUGAAGCUCGAAGAUGUCAAUUUACUGAAGCUUGAACUGGUUCGCCUAAUCACAAAAGAUAUGAUGGAGAACCUUGAUAGGGGAAGUGGAGUGGAUGUUUGUGGUCUAGGUGUCGAAGUAAUGCCACAUAGAGAAGUAGUUGACUUUGAAGAUGGGAACUCUCCUGACAUGCAAUGUAUGGACCUAAUUGCACAUGCAUCUCUACCUCCAACAAUUGAAGAUGGACUUGAUGGUUGUGUUCAAGGUGAAACAUGUUAUAGGAUCCCUACCCGUACAAUACAGACUAUGCACACGGUUGUAUCUAGUAACAAAAUCAGUGUUGUUAGUGUAGUCGAGGAACCUAAGGAGGGCAUGAUUUUUAAAACUUGGCAGGAUGUUGAAGCCUAUUAUAAGAAAUAUGCUGAACAACUUGGGUUUGGUGUCAUCAGCGUUCAAGGUUCAUUCUCUAAGAAGGAUAAGGAAAGGAGGGGGACUACAUGGAAGUGUGAAUGUUGGGGGAGACCGAACAUGAGAGCAGUGAAAGCGGCAAAGAAGAGGGCUAAAUCAAUGGAAGUUGCUGGCUGUAGUAAUUUAGUUGGAGGGGUUAUUGCGGAGCCUGAGUUGAAUUGUUGCAAAAGAAAGUCCAAAAAGUGUGAGUGUGGUGCUAAGAUUUAUGCUAGUGUUAAUGACGAUGGUGAGUGAGAGUUGAUAAAUGUUAUUUUGAAGCACAAUAACCAUGAUUUACUCCCAAACGGAGCGAAGUUGGUGAAAAAGAUAGAAUGAAGCAAAUGACAUCCACUUAGGGAUGACAAUUAAAUCCGAUUUCGAUUCGAAUCCGAUCCGAUCCGAAGGAAAAAAUCCGAUUCAAAUCCAUUUAAAAUUAGUCCGAAUCUGAAUCCGAUAAAAUAGAUCCGAAUCCGAAUAGGAGGUGGAUCGGACUUGGACCCUACGCAAAUUUCGAUGGAGUCCGAUCCGAGUCCGAAUCCGAGAGUAUAAGCAUAUGCUCUAUAACUUGGGACAAUUAUUUGCUUGUUUUGUAGCAAAAUUUUGUUGUGUAACUUAGUUUAUAAUUUAAAUAUGUUAUGUUUAUACUUUAAUUGGUAUGACAAUACAAGCAAUUAUAGGUAUAUAUAUGACAUUACAAAAAAUAAAAAUAAAAAAAUAUUCAGACCAUUUCGGAGGUCCGAAUAAACGGACCGUAUUCGGCUCCGACAAUUACGAGUCGGAUCAGAUUCGGACUUGGAUUUUUCGGAUUCGAACUCGAAUUCGGAUCCAAGUCCAGGGUCCGUUUACUAAACGGAUCGGAUUUGGAUUUAGCCACAUCCGACCCGAAUCCGAUCCGUUGCCAUUCCUACAUCCACUGUUAGGAAGAGGUUGGUGAAUUAUUAUAAUGAGGGGGUACCCGUAUCUCGUAUACAUGGCUGGACUGCUAUUGAAAUGGGAGGGGUUGAGAACAUGUCGAUGACGGUUAAGGAUUUCCAACAUGAGGUUUACAAGAAGCGCCGCCUUAGGAUGGAAGGUGGGGAUGCGACUGCUAUGAUGUCAUAAUUUGAGUAUAUGAUGGCCGAUAGUCAGAAUUUUUUUCAUGCUAAUCGUUUAGAUGAAGAAGGUCGGUUAAAAGAUGCGUUGUGGGUUGAUGCUCGUAGUCGAGCUGCUUAUGAAUACUUCGGGGAUGUAGUGUGUUUUGAUGCUACAUAUUUGACCAAUGAGCAUGAAUUGCCGUUUGUGAAUAUUGAUGGGGUCAAUCACCAUGGACAGUCUAUUCUAUUGGGGUGUGCAUUGGUGUCUCAUGAAGGCACAGAUACGUUUAGAUGGAUUUUUCGGCAGUGGCUGUGUUGCAUGGGGAAUAAAUCCCGGCCGGUAUCCUUACAGAUCAAGUUGCUACGAUGCGUAAGCCGCUAGAAGAAAUUAUGCCAAACACUAUACACAGGUGGUGCAUCUGGCAUAUCAUGUCGAAAUUCCCUUACAAGCUUGGAAAAUGCUCGAUGUACAAUGAGUUUAAGAAUAAGCUAAAAACUGUGAUAUAUGAAAGCUUCACUGUGGAUGAGUUUGAAGAGAACAAGUGUGCAUUGAUUAAGUAGUACAAGCUGGAAAACAAUGAGUGGUUGACUUAUAUGUUCAAAGAGAGACAUAUGUGGGUUCUGGCCUUCGUGAAAGAGUUCUUUUGGGCCGGUAUGAAAACUACUCAAAGAGUAGAGAGCAUCAACAGUUUUUUUUGACGGCUAUGUGAAUCGGAAAACCAAGUUGCAUGAAUUUCCUAGACAAUAUAACAGAGCAAUGACAAAACGCGUCCAAGAUGAAACUGAUGUUGAUAACAACUGCUCCAAGUAUGUUCGUAGGCUAGUGAGUGGUUUCAAGCUGGAGAAGUUGUUUCAACAGGUAUACACUGACACAAAAUUUCAAGAAAUACAGACUGAGCUUUCAAGACUUCUGUAUGUUUAUUGCCGUGAUGAGAAAAUGUUGUCCAAGAUAGUUGUUUAGAAUCUAGUUGAAGAUAGAGUAUGGAUUGUUCCUCAAGGAUACAGGGAGGAGAUAAUAACUGAUCGCCGAAGGUUCUAUCGUGUCACGUUUGACAGUGUGACCAAAGAAGUGUCAUGCGAUUGCCGGAAAUUUGAAACGUUUGGGAUCUUGUGCAAACAUAUGUUCCGGAUAUUUGAUCAGAACUUGGUUUUUGAUAUACCUGAGAAAUAUAUACUCACGUUGUGGCGGAAGGAUGUAAAUCGGAGGCAUACAAGGAUUAAAGUCCCUUACCAUGAUCCGUCUCACUGGGCACAAGUGAAGAAAUUCUAUAAAAUGUUAAUCACUUUUGAAACUAUAUUUGAUCUUGCUGCAUCCGUUGAUGAUGAAACUGUUCACCAUGUCCUGAAUUCUCUAAAAAAGCUACAGGGUGAAGUAGCCGCGUUGAAGUAGAAGAAAGAUCUUCUCAAAAAAGCUGAAGAAGUUUCUCACUUCCCUGCUGAUGGCUCUUAAGUAGAGCAACAGUCAUGUGGUGUGGGGUCAACAGCUGCUUCAGUUCAAAAACCAUAUAACCCCCCUAACUCUAACGACACUCCAACAGCUGCCCAAGAACCUGUAACUGACCUGUCUGUUGAUGUUGAUAACAUCCAGUGGUCUGAACAACAUGCACCACCUAGUGCCCCAAAGAACUCGGUUGUUCUUGAUCCAAUUCUGAAGAAGAAGCGUAGACGGCAACCAAAAGGUAGCAGGAACAAAACUCACGUAGAAACUAGCUACAAAAAAGGCAAAGCCGAAGGAGAAACAACCUGACGUAUGCUUUAUAAUAAUUUGAAUCCUAUCUCUUUUACCAGAUAAGUGCACUUGAAUAACUUAAGGGGCCGUUUGGUUUGCAGAGGGGAAUCACAAUGGAAUGAAGAAAGGGAAUGAAGGAGAAAGGAAUGGAUUCCCUUGAUUUUUUCUAGUUUUUUGGUUGUGUCCAGGAAACGGAAUGAACUACUCAUUGAUUCCCUUUGUGACUGUUUGGUUCAAGCCAGGGAAUCAAAUUUUGAGUUAUUAAAUUCUUUUAA